UACGGAGGGUGCGAGCGUUGUCCGGAAUCACUGGGCGUAAAGGGCGCGUAGGCGGCCCUGGCAGUCGGUGGUGAAAGCCCGUGGCUCAACUGAGGAAGUGCACCCGAAACUGGCGAGCUUGAGUACGAAAGAGGAUCGCGGAAUUCCCGGUGUAGAGGUGAAAUUCGUAGAUAUCAGGAGGAACACCUGCGGUGAAGACGGCUUUCUGGACCAUUGCUGACGCUGAGACACGAAAGCGUGGGUAGCAAACAGG
rnacentral:rRNA from 1 species